rnacentral:lncRNA from 1 species
GGCCUCAUGUUUCUGGGCCUGUGGUACAGCAAAAACACCACGAAAGAAAUGAGCACGGGAGGAAAGCUCCUCGUGUUACAGAAACUACAAAACACGAUAUGUGGUCAAGAGGCGGGGACAAGAUACACCCUGCAAAGGGGUGCUUACAGAGACUUGUUUCUACCACGGAGUCACCACCUCCUAGGAAUGCCGUAAGGGUAUGAGCCAACCAGUGGAUUAAUCCACUCCUGAGGUCUUCAAGAAUCAAACGCAUUCUGAACGCUGCUGCCACUAGAGACCAAGCUUUCAAUAUAUGAGCUUUUCCUGGUGACACUUUGUGGCUUGACAGCUGGAAGACAAACACUGCCAUGGCCAGGAGGAAGCACAUGUUGAGAGUCAAGGGUUGGGGAAGACCACCCUGUCCUCCAUGGGAGAGCAUUGCAAAGCUCCGUCUUGAAAGGCCUGAAACAGGGAGAGGUGAAGAACUGGGCCGAAUGAUGGCAUCCACCACCUUGCCUCCUGGCUCCUGAAUCCAGAACUGAUUUUGGGUGUGAUGUCACUACCUCAGUCUCUUCAGAGUCACUACCUCAGUCUCUUUGGAGUCUCGCUAUCUUUUUCUAUUUAACUUACUCUAAGGUAGAUUCUAAUGUUUGCUGUCAUUGAAAUUAACCAAGCCAGGUAAGGACUAUCAGCUCCAGCUCCACAUCUGCCUGCAUGCUGCCAUGCUCCCUGCCAUGAUGGCAAUGGACUGAACCUCUGAAACUUAUUGCAGGCUGGGCUGGUAACACAGAGAAAGAGAUGGAGAAAGCAGUGGUGUUGCAGUAACACUGAGGUGUUGGCAAGUCAAGCUGUGAAAGUUUGACAGCUGAAGAAGAAGCAACUGAGCAACUUGAGAGCAGCCGGGCAGGAAGAAAAGCCACGGAGGUAGAGAGAUACUAAGAGAGGGUGGAGAGCUAAGGCAAAAUGACAAAGGAUAUAAAGAACCAGAC